AUUGAACGCUGGCGGCAGGCCUAACACAUGCAAGUCGAACGAGUGGCGGACGGGUGAGUAAUGUCUGGGAAACUGCCUGAUGGGGGGGGAUAACUACUGGAAACGGUAGCUAAUAACGCAUACCAUCGGAUGUGCCCAGAUGGGAUUAGCGAGUAGGUGGGGGAACGGCUCACCUAGGCGACGAUCCCUAGCUGGUCUGAGAGGUGGACCAGCCACAUUGGAACUGAGACACGGUCCAGACGCCUACGGGAGGCAGCAGUGGGGAAUAUUGCACAAUGGGGGCAAGCCUGAUGCAGCCAUGCCGCGUGGAUGAAGAAGGCCUUGGGGUGGUAAAGUACUUUCAGCGGGGAGGCGUUACCCGAAGAAGAAGCACCGGCUAACUCCGUGCCAGCAGCCGCGGUAAUAC
rnacentral:rRNA from 1 species